GGUCCCGUAGCUCAGCUGGAUAGAGCACUGGCCUUCUAAGCCGACGGUUGCUGGUUCGAAUCUAGCCGGGAUCG
rnacentral:tRNA from 1 species